CCUACGGGAGGCAGCAGUAGGGAAUUUUCGUCAAUGGGCGCAAGCCUGAACGAGUAAUGCCGCGUGAACGAGGAAGGUCUUCGGAUCGUAAAGUUCUGUUGAAGGGGAAAAAGAGCGGAGAGAGGAAAUGGUCUCCGAUUGAUAUUACCCUUCGAGGAAGUCACGGCUAACUACGUGCCAGCAGCCGCGGUAAUACGUAGGUGGCGAGCGUUAUCCGGAAUGAUUGGGCGUAAAGGGUGCGUAGGCGGCCUGCUAAGUCUGGAGUGAAAGGUACCGGCUCAACCGGUACAGGCUCUGGAAACUGGCGGGCUAGAGAGCAGGAGAGGGCGGUGGAACUCCAUGUGUAGCGGUAAAAUGCGUAGAUAUAUGGAAGAACACCAGUGGCGAAGGCGGCCGCCUGGCCUGUUACUGACGCUGAGGCACGAGAGCGUGGGGAGCAAAUAGGAUUAGAUACCCCGGUAGUC
rnacentral:rRNA from 1 species